GACGAACGCUGGCGGCAGGCCUAACACAUGCAAGUCGAGCGGUAACAGAUCCAGCUUGCUGGAUGCUGAGGAGCGGCGGACGGGUGAGUAAUGCAUAGGAAUCUGCCCGAUAGUGGGGGAUAACCUGGGGAAGCCCAGGCUAAUACCGCAUACGUCCUACGGGAGAAAGGGGGCUCCGGCUCCCGCUAUGGGAUGAGCCUAUGUCGGAUUAGCUAGUUGGUGAGGUAACGGCUCACCAAGGCGACGAUCCGUAGCUGGUCUGAGAGGAUGAUCAGCCACAUCGGGACUGAGACACGGCCCGA
rnacentral:rRNA from 1 species